CCUACGGGAGGCAGCAGUGGGGAAUUUUGGACAAUGGGCGCAAGCCUGAUCCAGCAAUGCCGCGUGCAGGAUGAAGGCCUUCGGGUUGUAAACUGCUUUUGUACGGAACGAAACGGCCCUUUCUAAUACAAGGGGCUAAUGACGGUACCGUAAGAAUAAGCACCGGCUAACUACGUGCCAGCAGCCGCGGUAAUACGUAGGGUGCGAGCGUUAAUCGGAAUUACUGGGCGUAAAGCGUGCGCAGGCGGUUAUAUAAGACAGAUGUGAAAUCCCCGGGCUCAACCUGGGACCUGCAUUUGUGACUGUAUAGCUAGAGUACGGUAGAGGGGGAUGGAAUUCCGCGUGUAGCAGUGAAAUGCGUAGAUAUGCGGAGGAACACCGAUGGCGAAGGCAAUCCCCUGGACCUGUACUGACGCUCAUGCACGAAAGCGUGGGGAGCAAACAGGAUUAGAUACCCUGGUAGUCCACGCCCUAAACGAUGUCAACUGGUUGUUGGGUCUUCACUGACUCAGUAACGAAGCUAACGCGUGAAGUUGACCGCCUGGGGAGUCGGCGCAAGGUUGAAACUCAAAGGAUUGACCGGNGNGAGAGNGCGAGACGACGACGAGGGAGGAGG
rnacentral:rRNA from 1 species